CUUUGCAGUGAAAGUGGGUUUGAAGAGGGAUUAAGUACACUGGGACUUGUAUCAGGCCUCACUAGUGCCAUGUGGUCUGCAGGUGCCUUUAUAGGACCAAUGCCGGGUGGAUUUCUGUAUGAGAAAAUUGGAUUUGAGUGGGCAGCAGCUUGUGGAGGCUUGUGGCCUAUGACUAGUGGAUUAGCGAUGGGCUUGUUUUACCUCCUGGAAAACUCUAGAAGAAGAGCUAAACCCCAGAACUUCAAUGGCACAGAGGAGGAGGAAGCUGCUCUCCUGCCCCUCAGAGUUUAGGUGGAUGAGCUGAGUGACCCGGGCUGGGGAAAGGGAGCGUGGCUGGAAGUCACUGCUGGGAGAUUUCCUGUUUUAUCACAGAGCUCCAUGGACUCCACACUAAUAUGCUGGAAACAUCAACAUAAUUUGGGAUAAUUUCAUAUCAGACUGCACUUCCUGUUGUCCUGAAAAGCUGGCCUACUGAACCAAUCAUAUUUACAACAUUUAUUAUGGGAAAGAUUGUUGAAAAGCAAUAAAAGUUUGUGUCUUUUUGUU